rnacentral:misc_RNA from 1 species
CCCUUGUGGAGGAGGACGCCGAAGGUGGGGCUAAUGACUGGGGUGAAGUCGUAACAAGGUAGCCGUACCGGAAGGUGCGGCUGGAUCACCUCCUAACAGGGAGACAACAAAAUGUUUAAUAUUAUUAUUUUGUCACCUUAGGUCGAUCGGUAUCUCACGUUCUUAAUUUGUUAAGAAUUUCAUUUCCUAAGUUUUUCUAGGUCACACCCAUUAUUUUUCCUGGGCCAUUAGCUCAGGUGGUUAGAGCGCACCCCUGAUAAGGGUGAGGUCCCUGGUUCAAGUCCAGGAUGGCCCAUAUCUCUAUGUUGGGGGUAUAGCUCAGUUGGUAGAGCGCCUGCUUUGCAAGCAGGAUGUCAGCGGUUCGAGUCCGCUUACCUCCACUGAUUACCACCUCUUACAUAACUGGUAAAAAGGAAAUGUUUUGAGUUGUGAUCAUUAUUCUGAACGAAUCUAGCUUCCUAAUGAAAUCAUUAAGAUGCUGGACUCAUUGAAUUAAUUUCAUUGUUUUCAGAGAACCUUGACAACUGCAUAGAUUAUUUUUAAAGACAAUAAGCAUCUUUAAUGAUGCAGAUUUAUUAUUUGUGCGAAUGCAUUAAUAACAAUUCUAUUAAGCUGAUGCUUCAAUUUUUUGAAGUUAUUGGUCAAGCUACAAAGGGCUCACGGAGGAUACCUAGGCACACAGAGGC